rnacentral:rRNA from 1 species
CACGUAGGGCGCAAGCGUUGUCCGGAAUUAUUGGGCGUAAAGAGCUCGUAGGCGGUCUGUUGCGUCCGCUGUGAAAACUCGGGGCUUAACCCCGAGCCUGCAGUGGAUACGGGCAGACUAGAGGUAGGUAGGGGAGAAUGGAAUUCCCGGUGUAGCGGUGAAAUGCGCAGAUAUCAGGAGGAACACCGGUGGCGAAGGCGGGUCUCUGGGCCGUUACUGACGCUGAGGAGCGAAAGCGUGGGGAGCGAACAGG